UCGAACGUAAGAUGACUGUAGGUGAAAGACUUACAUCUCUUCGGAGCAGUUUUACGAGGUGCUGCAUGGUUGUCGUCAGCUCGUGCCGUGAGGUGUCGGGUUAAGUCCCAUAACGAGCGCAACCCUACCUUUAGUUGCCAUCAGGUAAUGCUGGGGACUCUAAAGGAACUGCCUACGCAAGUAGUGAGGAAGCGGGGAUGACGUCAAAUCAGCAGGCCCUUACGUCCAGGGCUACACACGUGCUACAAUGGCCGAUACAGAGGGCAGCUACCUGGUGACAGGAUGCAAAUCUCCAAAGUCGGUCUCAGUUCGGAUCGGAGUCUGCAACCCGACUCCGUGAAGUUGGAUUCGCUAGUAAUCGCGCAUCAGCCAUGGCGCGGUGAAUACGUUCCCGGGCCUU
rnacentral:rRNA from 1 species